rnacentral:rRNA from 1 species
GACGAACGCUGGCGGCGUGCUUAACACAUGCAAGUCGAACGGAAAGGCCCUGCUUUUGUGGGGUGCUCGAGUGGCGAACGGGUGAGUAACACGUGAGUAACCUGCCCUUGACUUUGGGAUAACUUCAGGAAACUGGGGCUAAUACCGGAUAGGAGCGCCUGCUGCAUGGUGGGGGUUGGAAAUUUUCGGCGGUUGGGGAUGGACUCGCGGCUUAUCAGCUUGUUGGUGGGGUAGUGGCUUACCAAGGCUUUGACGGGUAGCCGGCCUGAGAGGGUGACCGGCCACAUUGGGACUGAGAUACGGCCCAGACUGCAACGGGAGGAAGCAGUGGGGAAUAUUGCACGAUGGGCGGAAGCCUGAUGCAGCAACGCCGCGUGCGGGAUGACGGCCUUCGGGUUGUAAACCGCUUUCGCCUGUGACGAAGCGUGAGUGACGGUAAUGGGUAAAGAAGCAACGGCUAACUACGUG